GACGACGCUGGCGGCGUGCCUAACACAUGCAAGUCGAGCGGGUUGAAGCGAGGGUAACUCGAACUUCUACCUAGCGGCGGACGGGUGAGUAACGCGUGGGCAACCUGCCUCAAGGAUCGGGAUAACAGCUCGAAAGGGCUGCUAAUACCGGAUAUGCCUAUGGCCUCGCAUGGGGCUGUGGGCAAAGGGGAAACCCGCCUUGAGAUGGGCCCGCGUCCCAUCAGCUAGUUGGUGAGGUGAAGGCUCACCAAGGCGACGACGGGUAGCCGGCCUGAGAGGGUGACCGGCCACACUGGGACUGAGACACGGCCCAGACUCCUACGGGGGGCAGCAGUGGGGGAUCUUGCACAAUGGGCGAAAGCCUGAUGCAGCGACGCCGCGUGAGCGAAGAAGGCCUUCGGGUUGUAAAGCUCUGUCUGGAGGGACGAAGAAAGUGACGGUACCUCCGGAGGAAGCCACGGCUAACUACGUG
rnacentral:rRNA from 1 species